rnacentral:rRNA from 1 species
AUGGGCCGGGCGGGCCCUAAUACUGCAAGUCGAGCGGACAGAUGGGAGCUUGCUCCGUGAAGUCAGCGGCGGAGGGAGAGUAACACGGGGGCAACCUGCCUGUAAGACUGGGAUAACUCCGGGAAACCGGGGCUAAUACCGGAUGAUUCUUUCCCUCACAUGAGGGAAAGCUGAAAGAUGGUUUCGGCUAUCACUUACAGAUGGGCCCGCGGCGCAUUAGCUAGUUGGUGAGGUAACGGCUCACCAAGGCGACGAUGCGUAGCCGACCUGAGAGGGUGAUCGGCCACACUGGGACUGAGACACGGCCCAGACUCCUACGGGAGGCAGCAGUAGGGAAUCUUCCGCAAUGGACGAAAGUCUGACGGAGCAACGCCGCGUGAGUGAUGAAGGUUUUCGGAUCGUAAAACUCUGUUGUUAGGGAAGAACAAGUACCGGAGUAACUGCCGGUACCUUGACGGUACCUAACCAGAAAGCCACGGCUAACUACGUGCCAGCAGCCGCGGUAAUACGUAGGUGGCAAGCGUUGUCCGGAAUUAUUGGGCGUAAAGCGCGCGCAGGCGGUUCCUUAAGUCUGAUGUGAAAGCCCCCGGCUCAACCGGGGAGGGUCAUUGGAAACUGGGGAACUUGAGUGCAGAAGAGAAGAGUGGAAUUCCACGUGUAGCGGUGAAAUGCGUAGAGAUGUGGAGGAACACCAGUGGCGAAGGCGACUCUUUGGUCUGUAACUGACGCUGAGGCGCGAAAGCGUGGGGAGCAAACAGGAUUAGAUACCCUGGUAGUCCACGCCGUAAACGAUGAGUGCUAAGUGUUAGAGGGUUUCCGCCCUUUAGUGCUGCAGCAACGCAUUAAGCACUCCGCCUGGGAGUACGGCCGCAAGGCUGAAACUCAAAGGAAUUGACGGGGGCCCGCACAAGCGGUGGAGCAUGUGGGUUUAAUCGAAGCAACGCGAGAACCUUACCAGGUCUUGACAUCUCCUGACACCCUAGAGAUAGGGCGUUCCCCUUCGGGGGACAGGAUGACAGUGUGCAUGGUUGUCGUCAGCUCGUGUCGUGAGAUGUUGGGUUAGUUCGCAA